AUGUGGCUCAUGGUAUGCAGACAAGUAAAUUGAGUAAAUUCAGUAACAAAGAAUAACAGCUGUAAUGUCAUUCCUUUCAAAAAGCCUAGCAUUGUCAAUACUUCCAAAAUUAAUAUGGCACACCUGUUAGUAUGUUGCCGGGUGGUCAGGAUUACAGCUCCAACUCUCUGCAACUUGGAGGAUGGCAGCAGGAGAAGGGCAGAGGCCUGCUGGGUUCUCUACCCGAGUUUACCCUAAACCGUUUUCUUGCCCUGGGCAUCCAAUCCCACCCCAUUUUAUUCCAACAAGUUUGCAGCAAGCGGAAUGGACUUGCAUCACAGCUGCGUUUUUUAAGUCCGAGGCCUGUGAAGAGUGAGGUUGAAAAGCACAAAACUGCAGGACCUGUGAGCUCCAAGCCUGAACCUGCUACUAGGAGCUAAAACAUCCUCAGAAAGUCAGACGACCUCAGGGGCCUGCUUGACUGCCCAAGAAUCUUUCUUUCUAAACUAUCAGACAUGGAAGAGACCUGAGUGAUUGUCUGAUAGUCUAGGCACUGAAAACAUAUCCCCAUUUCUAAACCAGUGGGAAUGGGAAUGGCAUGUCACAGAGAAUUGAAUUGUUUUGAGUAGUAGAUUUCAAAAGAGGCGAUUAAGGAGCUUCAAAGCUCUCUUUUUGGAAGAAAUCUGGCCCUGUUUGCAGACAUCCCUGAAGUCCAAUUCUGUGCAGAUUUAGGAUGGCCCUCCAUCUGUGUGAAAGCACCAGGAAUCCUGCUUAAUUUACAAAACAGAAUGUCAACUAUGUCACCUGGCUGGCUGUCACGUGUGACAGGCAUUACAACUGCUAAACAAGAUGUAGUUCAUCUCUAGAAGAAGAAAUGUGCACACCUGUGGAAUGCAAACCCCAGUCCCUUUGAAGUUAGGCACGACCACGUGACCUGCUUUGGCCAAUGAUGUGGGAAGCCAGCAGACCUGUUAAGUGAUUCAUGUGGUGAGGAACUAAAGCCUUUUGCCAACAAGCAGCAGAGAAUCAAGGCUUCCUGCCAACAGCUGUGUGAAGGAGCCAUCUUGGAAGUGGAUCAUCCAGCCCCAGGCAAGCCUUCAGAUGACU
rnacentral:lncRNA from 1 species